rnacentral:rRNA from 1 species
GAUGAACGCUGGCGGCGUGCCUAAUACAUGCCAGUCGAGCGAACAGACGAGGAGCUUGCUCCUCUGACGUAAGCGGCGGACGGGUGAGUAACACGUGGAUAACCUACCUAUAAGACUGGGAUAACUUCGGGAAACCGGAGCUAAUACCGGAUAAUAUAUUGAACCGCAUGGUUCAAUAGUGAAAGACGGUUUUGCUGUCACUUAUAGAUGGAUCCGCGCCGCAUUAGCUAGUUGGUAAGGUAACGGCUUACCAAGGCAACGAUGCGUAGCCGACCUGAGAGGGUGAUCGGCCACACUGGAACUGAGACACGGUCCAGACUCCUACGGGAGGCAGCAGUAGGGAAUCUUCCGCAAUGGGCGAAAGCCUGACGGAGCAACGCCGCGUGAGUGAUGAAGGUCUUCGGAUCGUAAAACUCUGUUAUUAGGGAAGAACAAAUGUGUAAGUAACUAUGCACGUCUUGACGGUACCUAAUCAGAAAGCCACGGCUAACUACGUG